GAAAGAAAUGUUGCAACCGAAAAAUGAGUCAAAAUGGGGAAAUCAAUUUGCAUUUUUACAUGUUUCAUUACCAAAAAUCGAUAAAGAAGAAUCAUCAACUAAUCCUCUAAGUUUUGUGUUUAAAGCACAAGAUGUUAUUCAGAGAAAAAGAAACUCCGCAGCGGUUAUCCUUACUGGAAAAUUGCUUGAUACUUUGCAGAAGUAUAAAGGUCCCGAGGUAACGGCUAAAUAUAUCCAUAACACGUUGAAGAAUUCUAGUAUGACAAUAUCAAACAUGAUUGGGCCAGUGGAAAAAAUGGCUUUGGCAAAUCAUCCAGUUAAAAGCUUGUACUUCAUGGUGGUUGGUGUUCCCGAGAGUUUAACAAUAACAAUGAUGAGCUAUAUGGGAAAAUUAAGAGUGGCUGUAGGAACAGAAAAAGGUCUAAUUGAUCCACAAAAGUUCAAAUGUAGCAUUGAAAAUGCCUUUGAUAGAAUUUUCAAAGCUGCUGUGCCUUCUGCUUCUUCCAAACCUUCAAAUUAAUUCAUAAA
rnacentral:misc_RNA from 1 species